CAGCAGCCGCGGUAAUACGUAGGGUGCAAGCGUUGUCCGGAAUUACUGGGCGUAAAGAGUUCGUAGGCGGUUUGUCGCGUCGUUUGUGAAAACCAGCAGCUCAACUGCUGGCUUGCAGGCGAUACGGGCAGACUUGAGUACUGCAGGGGAGACUGGAAUUCCUGGUGUAGCGGUGAAAUGCGCAGAUAUCAGGAGGAACACCGGUGGCGAAGGCGGGUCUCUGGGCAGUAACUGACGCUGAGGCACGAAAGCGUGGGUAGCAAACAGGAUUAGAUACCCUGGUAGUCCACGCUGUAAACGAUGAGAACUUGACGUCGGGUCGCUUAGCGAUUCGGUGUCGAAGCUAACGCGCUAAGUUCUCCGCCUGGGGAGU
rnacentral:rRNA from 1 species